AUAACGCAGCGAAAGCUACGCUAAUACCGCAUAUUCCGUGAGCAGGAAAGCAGGGGAUCGCAAGACCUUGCGCUUUGGGAGCGGCCGAUGUCGGAUUAGCUAGUUGGUGGGGUAAGGCCUACCAAGGCGACGAUCCGUAGCGAGUCUGAGAGGAUGAUCCGCCACACUGGGACUGAGACACGGCCCAGACUCCUACGGGAGGCAGCAGUGGGGAAUUUUGGACAAUGGGCGGAAGCCUGAUCCAGCCAUGCCGCGUGAGUGAAGAAGGCCUUCGGGUUGUAAAGCUCUUUCGGCGGGGAAGAAAUUGCUUGGGUUAAUACCCCGAGUAGAUGACGGUACCCGAAUAAGAAGCACCGGCUAACUACGUGCCAGCAGCCGCGGUAAUACGUAGGGUGCGAGCGUUAAUCGGAAUUACUGGGCGUAAAGCGUGCGCAGGCGGUUUUGUAAGUCACAUGUGAAAUCCCCGGGCUCAACCUGGGAACUGCAUUUGAGACUGCAAGACUGGAGUUUGGCAGAGGGGGGUGGAAUUCCACGUGUAGCAGUGAAAUGCGUAGAGAUGUGGAGGAACACCGAUGGCGAAGGCAGCCCCCUGGGCCAAUACUGACGCUCAUGCA
rnacentral:rRNA from 1 species